AUAUAGGAGGGUUCUUCCGGGGUCGUGACGCUGGAGUGCAGGCUCGGAUCACUUUCCCGCGAGCCUCCCAUCUUGCUAGACCACCUUCUAGGACUUCUACUGGUUGCACGCUGCGUGGGAAGGACUCUGAGAGACCCUGAAGCCACGCAAUGAUUGGAAAACCUUGUUCCUAUGAAAAAGUGAAGAGUGCUACCAGGAGUUUUGAGAGAUGUCUGGCUGGCAGACACCACUUCCAGGCAUCGUACUCAGGACCUUAUGCUUUUGAGGCAGGCGUUGGAACCACUGAGCUAAAUCCUCGGCCCCAAAUGAUUGAUUUUUUUCAGCAAUGGGAACUGAACCCUCCUUUGUCUCCUUUCCUACAAUGCAUUACUUAACACCUGCCAGACAG